rfam:Triticum aestivum genome assembly, contig: Triticum_aestivum_CS42_TGACv1_scaffold_158174_2DL
AAAGUACUCCCUCCGUCCCAAAAUUCUUGUAUUAGAUUUGUCUAGAUACGGAACACACAUCCGUAUCUAGACAAAUCUAAGACAAGAAAUUUGGGACGGAGGGAGUAGUUG